GUAGGGAAUAUUGGACAAUGGGCGAAAGCCUGAUCCAGCCAUGCCGCGUGAUAGAUGAAGGCCCUCUGGGUUGUAAAUAUCUUUUAUCUGGGAAGAAACUCCUCUAUUCUUAGAGGCCUGACGGUACCAGAGGAAUAAGCACCGGCUAACUCCGUGCCAGCAGCCGCGGUAAUACGGAGGGUGCAAGCGUUAUCCGGAUUCACUGGGUUUAAAGGGUGCGUAGGCGGGUUGAUAAGUCAGUGGUGAAAGCUCCGGGCUUAACUUGGAAACUGCCAUUGAUACUGUCAAUCUUGAAUGUCGUAGAGGUAAGCGGAAUGUUGCAUGUAGCGGUGAAAUGCUUAGAUAUGUUACAGAACACCAAUUGCGAAGGCAGCUUACUAUGCGAUAAUUGACGCUGAGGCACGAAAGCGUGGGGAGCAAACAGGAUUAGAUACCCCAGUAGUCC
rnacentral:rRNA from 1 species